UACGGAGGGUGCAAGCGUUAUCCGGAUUCACUGGGUUUAAAGGGUGCGUAGGAGGGUAGGUAAGUCAGUGGUGAAAUCUUCGAGCUUAACUCGGAAACUGCCGUUGAUACUAUCUAUCUUGAAUACCUGGAGGUGAGCGGAAUAUGUCAUGUAGCGGUGAAAAUGCUUAGAUAUGACAUAGAACACCAAUUGCGAAGGCAGCUGGCUACACGAAUAUUGACACUGAUGCACGAAAAGCUGGGGGAGCAAA
rnacentral:rRNA from 1 species